rnacentral:tRNA from 1 species
GUCAAGGUGGCAGAGCCCGGCCAUUGCAAAAGACCUAAGCCCUUUACACAGAGGUUCAAAUCCUCUCCUCGACU